rnacentral:misc_RNA from 1 species
GGGAAUUCCAGAUAAAAAGAAGUGAAGCUCUUGAAGAUAGCUAUAAAUCAACCUUUUGUUGCAAAAUUUAUAACCUUUGCACGGAAUAAGCAAUUUUAACAAAUAAUAAAGUUAAUUAGAAGUUAAACCUAAUAAUGAAACAUUCAAUCAAUAAUGUGUAGGUCAAUCAGCAGGUGAAAUAGAACAAAAAAAUAAGGGCAUAAAGAAGUAUAUCCAAAAGAAGAAGUCCAG